rnacentral:rRNA from 1 species
UACGAAGGGGGGCUAGCGUUGCUCGGAAUGACUGGGCGUAAAGGGCGCGUAGGCGGUUUUAGACAGUCAGAUGUGAAAUUCCCGGGCUUAACCUGGGGGGCUGCAUUUGAUACGUCUAGGCUUGGAGUGAGGAAGAGGGUUGUGGAAUUCCCAGUGUAGAGGUGAAAUUCGUAGAUUAUUGGGGAAGAACACCGGUGGCGAAGGCGGCAACCUGGUCCUUUACUGGACGCUGAGGCGCGAAAGCGUGGGGAGC